GGNWAUUUCUGGUAGCAAUAUUAGAAAUGUCCAGUGGCGCAAGGGUGCGUAACACGUGGGCAAUCUGCCGAGAAGUGGGGGAUAGCUCGCCGAAAGGCGAAUUAAUACCGCAUGUGGCUAGGGAAGACAUCUUUCCAACGCCAAAGCCGGGGCAACCUGGCGCUUCUUGAUGAGCCCGCGGCCUAUCAGCUAGUUGGUGAGGUAACGGCUCACCAAGGCUAUGACGGGUAGCUGGUCUGAGAGGACGACCAGCCACACUGGAACUGAGACACGGUCCAGACACCUACGGGUGGCAGCAGUCGAGAAUUUUUCUCAAUGGGCGCAAGCCUGAAGGAGCGACGCCGCGUGGAGGAUGACGGUCUUCGGAUUGUAAACUCCUGUCAUUAGGGAACAAAGCUUCCGGUUAACUGCCGUGGAGCCUGAUAGUACCUGAAGAGGAAGAGACGGCUAACUCUGUGCCAGCGGCCGCGGUAAUACAGAGGUCUCAAGCGUUGUUCGGAUUCAUUGGGCGUAAAGGGUGCGUAGGUGGCAAGGUAAGUCGGGUGUGAAAUCCCGGGGCUCAACCCUGGAACUGCACUCGAUACU
rnacentral:rRNA from 1 species